AUUGAACGCUGGCGGCAGGCCUAACACAUGCAAGUCGAAUGGUAACAGGAAACAGCUUGCUGUUUCGCUGACGAGUGGCGGACGGGUGAGUAAUGUCUGGGAAACUGCCUGAUGGAGGGGGAUAACUACUGGAAACGGUAGCUAAUACCGCAUAACGUCGCAAGACCAAAGAGGGGGACCUUCGGGCCUCUUGCCAUCAGAUGUGCCCAGAUGGGAUUAGCUAGUAGGUGGGGUAACGGCUCACCUAGGCGACGAUCCCUAGCUGGUCUGAGAGGAUGACCAGCCACACUGUAACUGAGACACGGUCCAGACUCCUACGGGAGGCAGCAGUGGGGAAUAUUGCACAAUGGGCGCAAGCCUGAUGCAGCCAUGCCGCGUGUAUGAAGAAGGCCUUCGGGUUGUAAAGUACUUUCAGCGGGGAGGAAGGGAGUAAAGUUAAUACCUUUGCUCAUUGACGUUACCCGCAGAAGAAGCACCGGCUAACUCCGUG
rnacentral:rRNA from 1 species